rnacentral:rRNA from 1 species
UGGAGCUUGCUCCGGAAGACUUAGUGGCGAACGGGUGCGUAACACGUGAGAAAUCUGCCUCGAACUUCGGAAUAACAGUUGGAAACGACUGCUAAUACCGGAUGCCUUCAUUUUGACCGCAUGGUUGUUUGAAGAAAGAUUUAUCGGUUUGGGAGGGUCUCGCGGCCUAUCAGCUUGUUGGAGAGGUAACGGCUCACCAAGGCUUCGACGGGUAGCUGGUCUGAGAGGAUGAUCAGCCACACUGGAACUGAGACACGGUCCAGACUCC